GGCCGGGUAGCUCAGUCGGUAGAGCAGCGGACUGAAAAUCCGCGUGUCGGCGGUUCGACUCCGUCCCCUGCCA
rnacentral:tRNA from 2 species